CCUACGGGAGGCAGCAGUGGGGAAUAUUGGACAAUGGGCGAAAGCCUGAUCCAGCAAUGCCGCGUGAGUGAUGAAGGCCUUAGGGUUGUAAAGCUCUUUUACCAGGGAUGAUAAUGACAGUACCUGGAGAAUAAGCUCCGGCUAACUCCGUGCCAGCAGCCGCGGUAAUACGGAGGGAGCUAGCGUUGUUCGGAAUUACUGGGCGUAAAGCGUACGUAGGCGGUUAUUCAAGUCAGAGGUGAAAGCCUGGAGCUCAACUCCAGAACUGCCUUUGAAACUAGAUAGCUAGAAUCUUGGAGAGGUGAGUGGAAUUCCGAGUGUAGAGGUGAAAUUCGUAGAUAUUCGGAAGAACACCAGUGGCGAAGGCGACUCACUGGACAAGUAUUGACGCUGAGGUACGAAAGCGUGGGGAGCAAACAGGAUUAGAUACCCUGGUAGUCCACGCCGUAAACGAUGAUAACUAGCUGUCGGUCGUCUACGAGACUUGUAGUGGUCGCGAGACGUAACGACAUUAAGUUAAGUACCGUCCGUCGGGUAGGUACGGUCGCGAAGAAGUUAAAACGUUAAAACGGUAAAGUUAGUACGGCGUGAGACGUAGCCGACGGACGACGACGAGGGAGGUAGG
rnacentral:rRNA from 1 species